rnacentral:rRNA from 1 species
AGACCGAUAGCGAACAAGUAGAGUGAUCGAAAGAUGAAAAGCACUUUGGAAAGAGAGUCAAACAGCACGUGAAAUUGUUGAAAGGGAAGCGCUUGCAGCCAGACUUGCUUGCAGUUGCUCAUCCGGGCUUUUGCCCGGUGCACUCUUCUGUAGGCAGGCCAGCAUCAGUUUGGGCGGUGGGAUAAAGGUCUCUGUCACGUACCUUCCUUCGGGUUGGCCUUAUAGGGGAGACGUCAUACCACCAGCCUGGACUGAGGUCCGCGCAUCUGCUAGGAUGCUGGCGUAUGGCUGAAGCGGCCCUCUUGAAACACGGACCAAGA